GAUGAACGCUGGCGGCGUGCCUAAUACAUGCAAGUCGAGCGAAUGGAUUAAGAGCUUGCUCUUAUGAAGUUAGCGGCGGACGGGUGAGUAACACGUGGGUAACCUGCCCAUAAGACUGGGAUAACUCCGGGAAACCGGGGCUAAUACCGGAUAACAUUUUGAACCGCAUGGUUCGAAAUUGAAAGGCGGCUUCGGCUGUCACUUAUGGAUGGACCCGCGUCGCAUUAGCUAGUUGGUGAGGUAACGGCUCACCAAGGCAACGAUGAGUAGCCGACCUGAGAGGGUGAUCGGCCACACUGGGACUGAGACACGGCCCAUACUCCUACGGGAGGCAGCAGUAGGGAAUCUUCCGCAAUGGACGAAAGUCUGACGGAGCAACGCCGCGUGAGUGAUGAAGGCUUUCGGGUCGUAAAACUCUGUUGUUAGGGAAGAACAAGUGCUAGUUGAAUAAGCUGGCACCUUGACGGUACCUAACCAGAAAGCCACGGCUAACUACGUGCCAGCCGCCGCCGUAA
rnacentral:rRNA from 1 species